AAAGAAAUCAAUGGUAUUUUUAAUUUUAAUACCAAAAAUCACUACAAUGGUAGUCUUCCGAGGAUUAUGCCUCGGAUUGAAAUAAUCAGAGCAAACUAGUUGAUGCAAAUGGUAAAUGCGUUCCACCGUUGUCCCCAUUACAACUGCUGCAAAGAUUUCUUUACAUUCUUUUCCAAAAUUCUUAUACUUGUAAAAUCUCUAUUAUUCUGCAUAUGUAAAUAACCAAAAAGAAAGAGAGAAACUUCUCGCUAGUGGCUCUUCGUUUGCAGCCUACCUCACCUAUCUCAUUAAUGAACUCUUUUCCAAGUAAAAUCGCCAAUUUCAAAUCAAUUCAAAUAAAAAUAUACCAGUGACAAUAAGGCUGCAUAACAAAGCAUGCUAGCUUUGUAUUGGCUUUCAUGAAACAAUUGCAAGUUUCUCAAUGUUGAAAGGAUAUGCAAUUUAUAUCAGAAAUCCAAAGUUCCACAUUGUUUGCUCUCAAUAUUUUUUGUUCCGUUACUGUGUUUCACUUCCUUUCUGCCAUCAUUAUCAAGGCCUCGGCUUCGCCCAAUACCCAACUUUGGCAAACCCCGGUUCAGUCCCUCAAGUAGAACACAAGCUUUACACCAUUUCUGCACAUUAGUGAUGUUAAUUAUUAGGAUAAAAUGUACAAUCAUGCAAAAUCAACACUGUUUACAAGUAGUUUAGCAUUGCAAGAAGACAUUCCAUGUCUCCAAUGCAACGCAUCAUAUCUACACCAGCAAAAUAGUGGACACAACUGGAAUAAGACUUUUAAUAGAUGAGCUAUUCCAUCAUGCAUCCUGAAGUUCAAUAUAACAUAAACUUCAUGUUUAUCUCACGUAAGCAAAAGCAGCACUCACUUGGCUUGAAAUGUAACCACAACGUUCACAAGUCCCCUGCUCUGGCAUUUUUGUAUUAGUGGAUAUUCUGAAAUUCUCCCCUGAUUUAAUGAUGUCAAGUAUGGCCCUAGGCCUGAUUCUCUCCAAAUCUUUGAUGAACUCACGAGCAAAACCACGGUAUGCAUUUGGAGAAUAUAUACCUGCAACAAAACACUCUGUAAAUUGAGAGGCAUACAACAGAAGAUUGAAUGCAAAAGCAACAUUAAAAAAACAGAAACAUAUUAGAACAAGAUCUAAAUGACUUGCUACCAACUUGUACAAAGUCCAAAUGAAAAAUACCCAACAUUUCAAACCUCAAGCCGAACUUCCACACACAAAACAUAAAAAGGAUAAGCGAGGAGAGAGAGAGAGAGAGACAAGCACCCAAGGACAUUGUUAUGAAACUAGACCAACAGGAACACUAAGGUGAAGAAAGGAAAUGAAAAACUCAUCAAUUACAUUCUGUGGAGAAGUAAUCCAGCCUUUUGAAAUAAGCAUACAUAACAAUCUCCUUCUCAUAGGUGUACUUGAAAGGCUUGCAUCUUGGAAUUGGACCAUCUUCACCAGUUGUUAUUGAAGUGCAUCUACUCAAUCUAGCAAUAUCUCCUCGCAAUAUAUUCAAAAGAACUGUUUCGGCAAUAUCAUCUGCGUUAUGCCCAGUAGCAACCUUGUCUACUUUCAACAAUGCAGCACCUCGAUCAAGGGCCUGACGACGAAAAACACCACAAAAUGUGCAAUUAUUCUUUAAACCAAUCAUCUUCACAAUCUCAUCCAUUGUCCAUCCAUACAAAUCCUUGUAGGAAACAAUCUUCAAGGGCAAGCCAUACUGGAAAACUGAAUUUCAUUUCUUUUGACAGUUUCAAGCGAGUCAUCCCUGUAACCAGUAAUGCCUUCGUCAACAGACAAUAAGAACAGAUCGAGGCCAUAAUUAUGCCGGCGAUUUAAUUCUGAUAACACAUAAGCGAGAACUGUAGAAUCUUUACCACCAGAGGCACCAAUAGCAACACGCUCACCAGGCUUGAAUAGCUGGUUUUCCACAAUCACU
rnacentral:misc_RNA from 1 species